GGCAAUUACCCUUACCCUUGCCAGACCUCAGCACAUCUGUUUUUGAAAGUCUAAUGGAAAAUCAGUGGUACUGUCACCUAAGAUAGGUUUACAAAGCUGCCUGUUUACAUUUUGAUGGUUUGGGUUUCUAAGUCCUGAAUGUUAAGCAUCUAAGUCCCUUUGGCUUUGCAAAGUCAAGAAGACUGAAGAGAAAUAGGGAUGGUGUCUGUAUAGCACUUGGAAGAAUAUCAGGUAGUUUAUUUUUGCCUGCUCAUCCAGAGCAGAGCAAAGCAGAGCUCAGCAGCUGCUCAGCCACUUCCCAUCCUAAUAAGUCUAAGUAGGGAACCUUCUAUAUCCCCAAGGAGUCUAGAUUGCCUGUAGCUACAUGGCUUGGUAGACUGGUAGAUUUAAAGACAAAAUACCUUAGAUGCACAGGAAGUUGUGUUGGUUCAUUGACAUUUGCUUGGGAAGGGGAAUUUGCCAUCACUGUCCAUCUCCUCCUCUGUUUUACAAAUAAUUGCUUUCCCUUCCUCAAAGGCUGUGGAUCCUGUGUGUCAGACCCCCACCAUUCACAGUGGUGGGAAGUCCUUUGAAUGGUGGUCACCAGAAACAAAGACAUGAGGGAGUACAGCAGAGUCUUGGCUGCUUGGUGUCAAGCCUGAGAAACCCUGUGAGAAAUAAGAAGUCUGCAGAAACUCCUACUCCAUUUCUCUUAUAUGUUGUCCUCCUGCAUUUCUCCUGAGAAUGCAAUGGAAGGAAUGAAAAGACAUUGUGCUGGCUCUUAAGGCUGGAAACUGCUGUGAGAAGUGGGAAGAGAAAGUAAGCCCAGAAGAAGACAAGAGAGAUGUAAUGUAAAGGCUGGACUACAGUCACCCUCUACCCACUGAAAUAUUUCUCAGGUGUAAAGCAAAAUAGCUAAGCAGUGUAAUAUCACAUUAAGGAAGUAAGCAUACAACAUAUUUUUCCUUGGAAGAAUUUAACUUAAAAAUCUCAAUCUCUCAUACUAUCUCAAAUAAAUCUAAUAACAAUUUUUCUAUUAGUUUUCUC
rnacentral:lncRNA from 1 species